rnacentral:rRNA from 1 species
AAACCAGCACCUCAAGUGGUCAGGAUGAUUAUUGGGCCUAAAGCAUCCGUAGCCUGGUGCAUAAGUUUUCGGUUAAAUCCAUAUGCUCAACAUAUGGGCCGCCGGGAAUACUGUGCACCUAGGGAGUGGGAGAGGUAGACGGUACUCGGUAGGAAGGGGUAAAAUCCUUUGAUCUACUGAUGACCACCUGUGGCGAAGGCGGUCUACCAGAACACGUUCGACGGUGAGGGAUGAAAGCUGGGGGAGCAAACCGGAUUAGAAACCCGAGUAGUCC